GCGGUGAUGAAUUGGGACGCAGGCGCGGAGCCCAGGGACCACUCCCCCUGCACAGACAUGAGACCAUAGGGGACCUGUCUGGGUGGCCUCAGGGAUAGGCGCUCCCCAAGGUGUGAAU
rnacentral:other from 10 species